UGGGGAAUAUUGCACAAUGGGCGCAAGCCUGAUGCAGCCAUGCCGCGUGUAUGAAGAAGGCCUUCGGGUUGUAAAGUACUUUCAGCGGGGAGGAAGGGAGUAAAGUUAAUACCUUUGCUCAUUGACGUUACCCGCAGAAGAAGCACCGGCUAACUCCGUGCCAGCAGCCGCGGUAAUACGGAGGGUGCAAGCGUUAAUCGGAAUUACUGGGCGUAAAGCGCACGCAGGCGGUCUGUCAAGUCGGAUGUGAAAUCCCCGGGCUCAACCUGGGAACUGCAUUAGAAACUGGCAGGCUAGAGUCUUGUAGAGGGGGGUAGAAUUCCAGGUGUAGCGGUGAAAUGCGUAGAGAUCUGGAGGAAUACCGGUGGCGAAGGCGGCCCCCUGGACAAAGACUGACGCUCAGGUGCGAAAGCGUGGGGAGCAAACAGG
rnacentral:rRNA from 1 species